UUCCUAGAACAUAGAACCAAUUCAUCAGAUCCCAUUAUAAAUCCACGGUUAAGCGCACUCAGGAUAGAGUAGUACUGGGAUGGGUGACCGCCCAGGAAGUCCCAAUAUUUUACAUGC
rnacentral:rRNA from 1 species